ACUUCGCUCUGAUGAAAAGUUAGUUUUAGUUAUUAAACUUCAUAUGGUAACUCAUGUUUAUUGUGAUCAACUUUUGAUUUAAAUAAUCCAUUAAAAAUGGCUUAUUUACACAAAUCUAAAGAAGGAGGACUUUAAACCUCAAGGCUUGUGCCCACAACACCAAUGAAUUAUAUUAUCUUAGUUAGGAAACUAAGCCAUAGAAAUAACCAAUUAAAAGUGACUAAUAAGGUGCCAGCAGUCGCGGUUAGACCUUAGCUUUGAGCUAACUACUUCAAACUUACUAGAGAAUCACUAUUUAUAAGAUCAUAACCGCAAAGAUGUAAGUAAAAUUUAAUCCUCAAGCUCACACCCUAACGGAUCUCACAAUGCGCCUCAACAAACCACACCAACGAAACAGGGAUUAGAUACCCCAUUAUCGAGUGGCCCAACCAAUCAAACACUAAAAACGAAAGUUUAAAAAUUAAAGAGCGUGGCGGUGUUCCACACCAUAUUAGGGGAUCCUGUGGCUUAAUUCGAUAAUCCACGAAUAUCAAAGCUUUAUUAGUAAUUACCAGCUUGUGUAUGGCCGUUUAUGUCUUUGCACCAAAACAUUAAAAAAAGGCAUCAGAAUUAAUAAUUCCACAAUACAGGUGACACACAGCCUAUAUAAAGCAGCUAAUGGGAUACAAAUAACUAUUAUUACCCUAAGUAGAUUGACACCUCUACACUAAAGGAGGACUUAAAAGUAAGGUCACAACACUACUAUGGCCUGAAUAAGACAUGGAACGCGUACAAAUCGCCCGUCACUCCUGCUAUUAACCCAGGAUAAGUCGUAACACAGUGGGGGCAACGGAAGUUGCCCCUGACC
rnacentral:ncRNA from 1 species